UUUAACUUGUACUUUUGUGAAUCAUAUCAGACUAGAAGCAUCAACUCGCAUUUGCGAAUCAUAUCAUACCAAAAAUUGUAUUACAUUAAAGGCAAUGAUUAAUUCAUGAUUAACAUAUACAUCAUAUCAUCUAGCUAACUAAACACAAUGACCUUUAAUUAUAGUUUGACACAUUACAAUAUAUUGGAUACAUGAAGGGCGGUCUUCAAUCUUGAUGCCUAGUUGAAUUCAU
rnacentral:lncRNA from 1 species